AAAUUGAAGAGUUUGAUCAUGGCUCAGAUUGAACGCUGGCGGCAGGCCUAACACAUGCAAGUCGAACGGUAACAGGAAGCAGCUUGCUGCUUCGCUGACGAGUGGCGGACGGGUGAGUAAUGUCUGGGAAACUGCCUGAUGGAGGGGGAUAACUACUGGAAACGGUGGCUAAUACCGCAUAACGUCGCAAGACCAAAGAGGGGGACCUUCGGGCCUCUUACCAUCAGAUGUGCCCAGAUGGG
rnacentral:rRNA from 2 species